rnacentral:rRNA from 1 species
UACGUAGGGUGCAAGCGUUGUCCGGAAUUAUUGGGCGUAAAGAGCUCGUAGGCGGUUUGUCGCGUCUGCUGUGAAAACCCGAGGCUCAACCUCGGGCCUGCAGUGGGUACGGGCAGACUAGAGUGCGGUAGGGAGAUUGGAAUUCCUGGUGUAGCGGUGGAAUGCGCAGAUAUCAGGAGGAACACCGAUGGCGAAGGCAGGUCUCUGGCUGACACUGACGCUCAUGCAC